UACAGAAGGUGGCAAGCGGUUGUUCGGAAUUACUGGGCGUAAAGGGCGAGUAGGCGGCCUUCUAAGUCAGACGUUGAAAUCCCCCGGCUUAACCUGGGAACUGCCGUCUGAUACUGGGAGGCUAGAGUAUGGGAGAGGGAUGUGGAAUUCCGAGGUGUAGCUGGUGAAAUGCGUAGAUAAUCUGGAGGAACACCAGUGGCGAAGGCGGCGAUCUGGGAAGAUACUGACCGGCUGAGUGCGAAAGCGUGGGGAGCAAACGGG
rnacentral:rRNA from 1 species